GGAGAGAUGGCCGAGUGGACGAAGGCGCGUGACUCGAAAUCACGUAUACCCUUUACAGGGUAUCGGGGGUUCGAAUCCCUCUCUCUCCG
rnacentral:tRNA from 1 species